rnacentral:lncRNA from 1 species
UACACCUCAUCCACACCCCUUUUAAAACAGCCCCAGCCAGGCUCACCUGACAUAUUACUGCAGUAAUGAUGGAUGUCCACAGAGCAGAUGUUGUUCUCUUCAUGCUCUUUCUUUUAUACUCGUCUUUUGCUGCUCCGUCUGCAGGUACAAAUAAGACGUCCAUCGCAGAUCAGGAACACAAUAGCAUCGGGCACCCCGGCAUUGUGCUGAAUGGUGAAGAGCAGGGAAAGGCACAGUGGAAGUGCCGACACAGACUUCGGAAGCGCGCGGACGGCUAUGACGCGUGGCUGAACGGAUACGACACCAAUGUAAUAGAUGGAGACUCCACAGGAAGCCCCUGUCAGGUUAUUCCUGUCACCAUCAACCCCCCAGCCACACCAAAACCAACAACCGUUCAGUCAACGAAAGCGGGAAGAGCUUCACUGCCAACCCCCCAUUUGCCCCCCCAGGUAACAGACAGGCCUCGGGCCCCCUAUGGAGGAUAUGUGAUUUUCCCUUAUAAUCCAGCUAAUGGCAGACCAGCAGUGUAUCGGUAUGACACUACUAAUGGCUUAGUUCCCCUGCAAGGAGUAUAUCCCAGCAACAGGCUGGUACCAGCAAACGGCGUUAUUCCCACAUUUGGGAGGGUUUUAACAGUAGGAAUCCUUCCAGGAGGUGCAAAGAUUCCCGCUGGCCGAUUUGUUCCAAACACUGGUGUUGUGCCAUCAAGCAGAGUGAUUCCUGUCGUUCCUCUUGCUCCUAAAACGCAGACCCCCAUCAACGGGCAUUCCCCAGGAAGAAGACCAUGUGUCAGGACUGGGCUAGUCCCCAGCCAACAAGUCAUCGGCACACAGGGGGCCACCAACCAGUUUUAUCCCGCCAAUCGGCUGGUUCCCAUCAAUAAAUUAGCCCUUCAGAGCAGAUUUCUUUCCAGCAACAGUCUUGGGGGUAACGUAGGUUUGGUGCGCGGCCUGGGCAGGGUUUUAGGCUCAGGGUCAUCUGAAGAGGGCAAAAGGAGAAAGAGGGAAGCUGACCCGGAGGACAGUAGCGUCGUCAGUGACAAAGAGGCCUUCUCGCUGUCGCGCUCCAUCAGAGAGCUCGUGGCAGGACGUGGAGGCGAGACGAAUCCUGCCGCAGUGAAAACUGUCAAGUCCUGAAAACACACCUCUCAAGCAACAAGCAACACAGAACGACUGAACUGCAGUACUUCUCACUGAGAUUUAACAAUAUUAUUAAAAUCCGUAGAUUAAAAUGUCUUUAAGGUGAAACUUUUAUUUACACUUUUCAAAGAAAACAUUCACAAAGUGUUACCUGUCAGAAAUAAAACAAGUAUUUAAUUGUUUUAGGGGCAAAAGUCCCCUUUUUAUCACGUAUUGUUUUAAUGUAAACAUCUAUGAAUGUAAGAUUUAAAUCAGGCUGUUUUCUACAGAUCUCAGAUCCAUUCUCUUAUAGAUUCUCCCUCUUUUCUAUAAAAAUUCUUUAUAAGCCAUAAACUAUUUGAAUGUCUUCAUUUCAGAAUUGCUAGUGCUCUUAAACUGGUGUUAGGAAUGCAAAAUACUAGAACACUAUGAAUGUUUCAACAAAUUAUAUGUAAAUUAUUUUAUUAUUUUAAAAAUUUAAAACUAUAUCAUGACUUUGUUGCUAAUAAUGAAUGUGUCUUUAAAUAAAUCCACUUGCAAAUAAUUAAAAUUCUAAUCCUUGAACUAGCAUGUUGAUUUAUUAAUACCCAUGUAACACUUUUACUGUAUGUUUUGAUCAUGAGUCGAAUUGCUCUUAUGAUACAUUUUUCUAAAUACUCCAGAAAAAAAAUGAAAAAAUAAACCUUCUUUCUCUCCCUU